CCUACGGGUGGCAGCAGUGGGGCAUAUUGCACAAUGGGGGAAACCCUGAUGCAGCGACGCCGCGUGAAGGAAGAAGUAUUUCGGUAUGUAAACUUCUAUCAGCAGGGAAGCAAAUGACGGUACCUGACGAAGAAGCCCCGGCUAACUACGUGCCAGCAGCCGCGGUAAUACGUAGGGGGCAAGCGUUAUCCGGAUUUACUGGGUGUAAAGGGAGCGUAGGCGGCGAUGCAAGUCAGAAGUGAAAGCCCGGGGCUCAACUCCGGGACUGCGUUUGAAAAUGUAUGGCUGGAGUGCAGGAGAGGUAAGCUGAAUUCCUAGUGUAGCGGUGAAAUGCGUAGAUAUUAGGAGGAACACCAGUGGCGAAGGCGGCUUACUGGACUGUAACUGACGUUGAGGCUCGAAAGCGUGGGGAGCAAACAGGAUUAGAUACCCUAGUAGUC
rnacentral:rRNA from 1 species